GUGCUCGCUUCAGCAGCACCUAUAUGAAAACUGGAACUAUACAGAGAAGAUUAACAUGGCCCCUGUGCAAGGAUGACAGGCAAAUUAUGUGAAGCAUUCCAUUUAAAA
ensembl:snRNA U6 U6 spliceosomal RNA